rnacentral:misc_RNA from 1 species
GUACGUCACCAUCAUUCGCCUGUCAACUCAUAUUUGGCCGACAUAGACAUGUAUGAUGGCGAUACAUCGUCGAUGAUCAACGAUGCUCGCCUCUCGAUGGGGUGAUCGGGAUGAGGGUGGUAGGCAGAUCAGCAGACGAAGGUCGGACGUGCGACCUUCCUCGAAUUCGCUUAGACUCGGCAGUAGCGGAGGCCGGGCAUCGACGUGAGGUGGAGCAUGGGUGAGGAGUCCGCGGGCAC